rnacentral:rRNA from 1 species
UACGGAGGGUGCGAGCGUUGUCCGGAAUCACUGGGCGUAAAGGGCGCGUAGGUGGCGACCCAAGUCAACGGUGAAAGCUCGACGCUCAACGUCGAGUCGGCCGUCGAUACUGGGUGGCUUGAGCACUGUAGAGGCUAAUGGAAUUCCGGGUGUAGCGGUGGAAUGCGUAGAGAUCCGGAAGAACACCGGUGGCGAAGGCGGUUAGCUGGGCAGUAGCUGACACUGAGGCGCGACAGCGUGGGGAGCAAACAGG